rnacentral:lncRNA from 1 species
AUGUUCAGUGUUGUGGUUCUUACUGGAUUUUGGUACUUUAUACGGUCUAUUGGUGUUGGCCAAUGGUCUUUUGUGAACUCCCUGUGACUUCCAAAAGCUCCUUAUUGAAGGUAAUUCUUUAAUUUAUUCGUAAUCCAAUGAAGGUGUCGUCGUGAGAAUUUCUUACAUCUUAAAAUGCCAUAGCAGUUUUCGAGAAUUGUAUUCCGUCAUUAGAACUUUUAUCUGCUUUCCCCUCCCCCUCAAAAUCUUAGUUUUCAAUUGUUCCAUUGGUGGUGCCUCCUCUGCAUCAUAUCUUUCUUCUAUCCCAUGAGCAAUGGUUCAGGAUUC